rnacentral:lncRNA from 1 species
UGUGUUCACGCCAAUACCAAGACCAACAAGGAAUCUGCCAAAUAAGAUCCCAUUCAAGGAGUGAGCUUGUGCACUGAAGAAGAAAAAAAGACAGCCUUUUUAUUCUGAUUCAUCCAAAAAAUCAUGUUCGCAUACAACUUAAAACAUCAAGGAUAUGUUACCAACAUCGCUAAAUCAAGAUUUACCUCAGAAACAAAAUAUUACCUCACAAGAGCAACAGGAAAAGAGACUUAGAGUUAAUAUGAGGUUGAAGAAACUUUAGGAGAAGGUUAAAGAACAACAAGAGAAAGAUAGGGGGAAAGGUUUGUAUUUUCUCACCUUUCUUUGUUAGAUUAAUAUCAUGAGUCUGUUUUUUUUUUUUUUAUUCUUACGUACUGUGUGUGAGUUUGCUGUGAUUCUUGUGUUUGAAUAUGGCAUACUAAAUGUAAUAAUCUCCAAUCACUCGUUCUUGCUGGCUAUCUCGUUUUGUUUAGAGUCAGUUCUAAGUGCUGAUGUGGUUUACUAAGCAAUCUUCCAGAUCCAAACUUUUAAAACGUUUCGUAAUGAGUGGGUGGAGAAUGCAGAUCGUUGGGUAGCUAGAUUCCUUGAAAUGUUUAAAGAAGGCUGCCAUAAAAUGGUGAGUUUAAAACUUUGAAGAAACUUAAGAAAACUGGUUGCAAAAAAAAAAAAAAAACUUAAAAAAACCUAACUUAAUCCACUAUUUUAUCUUUUCCGCGAUUCACGACUAAUCUGCCAUAAAAUAACUUGUAUAGGUAUUAGGGAACUGCCAUCAGAGACCGAAGCCAAGAGAAGUUAAUGCAAAAAGAGUCUAGAGAACUGCUCGAACAGGAUCAAUGUGACAACCUGUUUCGUGGACCACAGGUUCACAGCUCUGCAGGACACCGACCCUAACCUCUAAUAUCUAAUGAUUUUGAUGAGUUUUAGAUUCAUAAUUUAGUUCAUUGUGAUCAUUCUAGAUUGCAUUUAAGUGUAUAUAUUGCAUACAUUUGUCCAUUUGAAUAUUCUAGGGUUUGGAUUGCACAAAUGGAAGUUUGGAGCCAAAAUGUGAGGUCAUUCUUGUGUAUUCCAGACUUUCUUGCUGAUUUGGAAACAAUCAAAAGGCGAGGGACUGAUUGAGAAAUUAUGAAAAGGGCUGGUCUGUGCAAUUAAAAUGUUUGGGGCUGAAUCAAAAAGAUAUUUCUGCAAUUUACAAAGUCGUGGGGCGUUUUGUCAGGAAUUAGAAGUUUAGGGACCUACUCUGUAAUACUCUAUGAAAUCACCAUGGGAGAUCUUCUCCAGCUCGAUCCCGACGGCGACGACGAGCAGCACGACGGAGAUGAACUGAUGAAUCGUGUGACGGGACAGACUCACGAAGAAAGCGAAGCUUGGCUGAGGACGACGGUUACGGAUGAGGAACAGAGCACGGUGGCGUGACUUGGUACCACGAACUAAGCUACGCUGAGACCAAGUGAAGCCGCAGUACACAGAGAGAGCGUGAUCAUCCAAGCUCAAUCGAAGUCUUCAAGUGUUCGUGGCAUCGAGGUGUGUAGGUCGCUGUAAACCGGACGCGUCUUAGAGCGAGGGCACGUUGCGAGAUAGUGCUCUCGCCCUACCAUGAGCAUGAGUUGGAGCGAGCGGGCUUCUCUUGCGACAUCACCGACCCGCUCGCAUCCUCCAACGGGCAUCAACUUCGAAGCUAAGUAGUGGAGCGGUCGUGUGCAGCGGUCUGAGGAGGUUCUUGUGCCUCACACGGUCCAUGGAGCGGGAUGACGAAGCCGCUCCCACACUCUGAUUGGUCGAAUUUUACUUAUUUUAU